rnacentral:rRNA from 1 species
GAUCCCAUCAGAACUCCGAAGUUAAGCGUGCUUGGGCGAGAGUAGUACUAGGAUGGGUGAUCCCCUGGGAAGUCCUCGUGUUGCACCC